rnacentral:lncRNA from 1 species
UUUUGCUGAGAGGUAUAUGAACAUGUUAAACGAUGGUAGAUCCCGCAUUUUGUGUAUAAAUCUUUAAAUUGAUUAGAUAGAAAUUCACCACCAUUGUCAUAUUGAAAUUGCUUGAUAGAAGUAGAGAAAAGAUUUUCUACAAGCACUUUAAAUUUCACAAAUGUAGGAAAAACAUCUGACUUGUGAUAUAAGGGAUACAACCAUGAAAAUCUGGAAAAAUCAUCAAUAAACAAGACAUAGAAUUUACAUCCACUUAUUGAACUAAUUGGUGUAACCCAAACAUUCGAAUGAACUAGCUCUAAACGUCUUGUUGUGUGAUGAUCUGAAGAAGGAAAUGACAAUUGUUUUACUUUGCCUAGUUGACAAGAAUUGCAAAAGUCAAGUUUAUUUGCUGAAUUUAAAAUAGGAAGAUUGUGUGAAUGAACUAAAUUGCGCAAAACAGAUGUUGCUGGAUGCCCUAAUCUAGAAUGCCAACGAUUUAAGGAUGCUUUGACUCCUACAGUAUCUGUAUGACACUGCAGUUUAUUUAUGGAGGUAUUAUUGAAUGCAUGUGGAUAAAGACCAUUCUCAACCAUUCCGUGGAGCAGAAUCAUGUCCGCGUUUUUCUCUUUCACAGAAAAAUCAUUUCCAGUAACUAAAAAAUAACAAUCUGUUAGUGCGGA